rnacentral:rRNA from 1 species
UACGUAGGGUGCAAGCGUUGUCCGGAAUUAUUGGGCGUAAAGAGCUCGUAGGCGGUUUGUCGCGUCUGCUGUGAAAACCCGAGGCUCAACCUCGGGCCUGCAGUGGGUACGGGCAGACUAGAGUGCGGUAGGGGAGACUGGAAUUCCUGGUGUAGCGGUGGAAUGCGCAGAUAUCAGGAGGAACACCGAUGGCGAAGGCAGGUCUCUGGGCCAUUACUGACACUGAGAAGCGAAAGCAUGGGGAGCGAACAGG